rnacentral:rRNA from 1 species
GACGAACGCUGGCGGCGUGCUUAACACAUGCAAGUCGAACGGUGAAGCGCCUUCCUUUUUGGUGGGUGUGGAUGAGUGGCGAACGGGUGAGUAACACGUGAGUAACCUGCCCCCUUCUUCUGGAUAACCGCAUGAAAGUGUGGCUAAUACGGGAUAUUCUGGGUCUGUCGCAUGAUGGGUCUGGGAAAGAUAUUGUUUCGGUGGGGGAUGGGCUCGCGGCCUAUCAGCUUGUUGGUGGGGUGAUGGCCUACCAAGGCGGUGACGGGUAGCCGGCCUGAGAGGGUGGGCGGUCACACUGGUACUGAGACACGGCGCCGACUCCGACGGGAGGCAGCAGUGGAGAAUAUUGCACAGUGGGCGGAAGCCUGAUGCAGCGACGCGGCGGGGGGGAUGGAGGCCUGCGGGUUGUGAACCUCUUUCGCCAGUGAAGCAGGCCUGCCUCGUUUGUGGGUGGGUUGACGGUAGCUGGAGAAGAAGCGCCGGCUAACUACGUG